GCCUUCAGACCAAGAGGAUCACAGUAUACACAGCAAGCAGCCUUAGAUAUAGAUGUAUAUUAAAGAAAACACGAAGACUCAAGAGACCAAGGAUUGAAUGCUGAAAUAAGAAUAUGGCAAUUGGACUUGAAGGAGAAUGGUGUCUCUACAAUUAAUCAUCAUGGGAUUUGGAUGAGAAUAGUUUGACUAUGUUUAGGAGAUCAUCCCUGCAGAAAAUACAAGGCAGAAAUUUCACAGCAGCAUCCUUUGGGAAGGUGCUACAGACCAUGGUUAUAGAGAAAAACAUGCCUACCAAUGGAUCAAUAGAAUUCCUGGUGUAGCGCCCUUCUUUUCUUUGUUGUUCUGUUGAUUACACUGGGAGUAUAGU
rnacentral:lncRNA from 1 species